UGGGGAAUCUUGCACAAUGGGCGAAAGCCUGAUGCAGCGACGCCGCGUGCGGGAUGAAGGCCUUCGGGUUGUAAACCGCUUUCAGCAGGGACGAGGCCGCAAGGUGACGGUACCUGCAGAAGAAGCCCCGGCUAACUACGUGCCAGCAGCCGCGGUAAUACGUAGGGGGCAAGCGUUAUCCGGAUUCAUUGGGCGUAAAGCGCGCGUAGGCGGUUUGUUAGGUCAGGAGUUAAAUCUGGGGGCUCAACCCCUAUCCGCUCCUGAUACCGGCAGGCUUGAGUCUGGUAGGGGAAGGCGGAAUUCCAAGUGUAGCGGUGAAAUGCGCAGAUAUUUGGAAGAACACCAGUAGCGAAGGCAGUCUGCUGGGCCGUCACUGACGCUGAGGCGCGAAAGCUGGGGGAGCGAACAGG
rnacentral:rRNA from 1 species